rnacentral:tRNA from 2 species
AGCCGCUUUAGCUCAGUUGGUAGAGCGCAUCCAUGGUAAGGAUGAGGUCGACGGUUCAAGCCCGUCAAGUGGCUU